AUCCAACUCAAACACUACUCUCCAACUUUUUCAAGGUUCUUUACCUGCACCUAUAUUCAUCAUGUCUCCUUGCACCUGCAACUGCUGCUCCGGAGAGUGCAACUCCUGCUCUUGCGCUAGCUGCAAGGUAUGUUAUUGAUUGCA
rnacentral:sRNA from 1 species